UUGGUUUCAAAAGCUUUAUCGCCAAGUCUCGCUAUCAAUUUCAACUAAUUGGCGAAGGAAUAGGGAUGUCAAUCCCUUAUCAACCACACUCCAUCUAUCGAUACCCUCACAUGAACCUGGUAGUUAUUACUCAACUCUGGUGCGAUCGAAGCCCUUGCUUUCUGUUCGGACGGUUCCUGCGAUUUCAACCUGCAACUCCAUCACCAACCAUCUCGAGCCCGUCGUCCGUUAACGGCUGCCUUCAUUCCGUGUAAACCAGUUACGGUCGUCACUUAGACGUUCAAGGUCUCUACAUCAUAUUUGAUUCAGUCCAUCGACUCUCAUCCUUGAUAAGUGGCUUUGGUGAUAGUUAAGGACGUCGUUGAGUUUUGUGCUAUUGUCGUUUAUGCUAUAAGGUACUCAGGGGAACAUGGGGAAAAAUGCGAAGAGAGAAAACUAAAUGGCUAGAGUUGAAAAUAAGGAGUUUAAAUAAAAUGCUAUUUAAAUUUUAGACAUUUCUAUUUUCGUUAAGACCGUUGUGUGGUUUUAGAUUUUUAAACCUUUGGAGAUAAUGUUUUAUCUGAGUUAAGUUUUAAA